GAUGAACGCUGACAGAAUGCUUAACACAUGCAAGUCAACUUGAACUUCGGUUUGGGUGGCGGCCGGGUGAGUAACGCGUAAAGAACUUGCCUCACAGAUAGGGACAACAUUUGGAAACGAAUGCUAAUACCUGAUAUUAUGAUUAUAUGGCAUCGUAUAAUUAUGAAAGCUAUAUGCGCUGUGAGAGAGCUUUGCGUCCCAUUAGCUAGUUGGAGAGGUAACGGCUCACCAAGGCGAUGAUGGGUAGCCGGCCUGAGAGGGUGAUCGGCCACAAAGGGACUGAGACACGGCCCUUACUCCUACGGGAGGCAGCAGUGGGGAAUAUUGGACAAUGGACCAAGAGUCUGAUCCAGCAAUUCUGUGUGCACGAUGAAGUUUUUCGGAAUGUAAAGUGCUUUCAGUUGGGAAGAAAAAAAUGACGGUACCAACAGAAGAAGUGACGGCUAAAUACGUG
rnacentral:rRNA from 1 species